AUUACGUCCCUGCCCUUUGUACACACCGCCCGUCGCUACUACCGAUUGAAUGGCUUAGUGAGGCCUUCGGAUUGAGAUUCGGAGUUUGGCAACAGACCCUGGGUUUUAAAAAGUUAUUCAAACUUGGUCAUUUAGAGGAAGUAAAAGUCGUAACAAGGUUUCCGUAGGUGAACCUGCGGAAGGAUCAUUAAAAAAAAAUUUAAUGAAUGGUCGGAGGAAAACUUUUUUGGUACCCCUUUGACUUUAUUCAACCAACCCGCUCUUGUAUUUUGUAUCAAACAAAAAAUUUUUAAAAAUACUAAUAAAAUAGUAAUGUAAAAAAAACUUUCAACAACGGAUCUCUUGGCUCUCGCAUCGAUGAAGAACGCAGCGAAAUGCGAUAAGUAGUGUGAAUUGCAGAACUUUGUGAACCAUCGAAUCUUUGAACGCAAAUUGCGCCUUUCUCGGAAGGCAUGUCUGUUUGAGGGCACCAUUUAACAAAUAAUGUGCGUGUUGCGUAUUGCGCGCGACAAUGCACACGUUGAUGAGCUUUCCAAAGAAAAUGAAAAUUUUUUUGGUGGCGCAUAAUAAACAGCGUGAUGGCUUUUCUUAAUUCGAGUGUAGUAAAAUCUUUUUUUGACGACGCUUGGUUUGUGAGGAGCACAGCGCAAUGGGUGUGGCGGUACCCAGCCCCAACGCCACUCUUUCUCACGAAAGAAGUUUAAUCAUCAGGGCCCUCAAAUCAGACCAGGAGUACCCGCUGACUUUAGCAUAUCAAUAAGCGGAGGAAAGAAACUAACAAGGAUUCCCCUAGUAACGGCGAGUGAGAGGAACAGCUCAAUUUUAAUCUGACUGCUACGCAGUCCGAGUUGUAGUUUGAAGGAGUCUGUCGCCAGUGCGACGAUGGGCACCAAGUCCUCCUGGAACGUGGCAUCGUAGAAGGGUGGAGGAUUCCGUCUCUGGGACGUCGUUGCUUUGCCAUAACGGGCAAGCAUUCGAAGAGUCAGGUUGUUUGGUAUGCAGCUUCAAAUGGGUGGUUAACCUCAUCUAUCCUAAAUUAUGGCCGAGACGGAUGGCGACAGAUACCGUG
rnacentral:rRNA from 1 species